rnacentral:ncRNA from 2 species
UGAAGGGGCCGCGACUGGCGAGGGUGGAUGACCACCGGGGAGCGGCCGACCUUCCCGAGAGGCGUCGCCCGCCUGGGCGCCCGGG